rnacentral:ncRNA from 1 species
GUAAAGGCAGAGAAGAGGAGUAGUAGUCCUCAUCCUUAUUGUACAGUUUCCAGAGAGCCGGUGGGUGGUGCGAACCGGUAUAAGGACGGAUGAACUCGCCUCGGAGCUGCUCCGGUGAACGCGGACAUGACCAGUGUCCCCUAGCCGGAGACGUCGCCCGCGUGAAGGGAAAAAUGAGGUCCGCUUCAGUGAGAUUUUUACUCACUUGGGGAGGAUAAAAAGGGUGGUACCACGGAGCAAAGUCUUCGUCCCUUGU